ACGGGAGGCAGCAGUGGGGAAUUUUCCGCAAUGGGCGAAAGCCUGACGGAGCAAUACCGCGUGAGGGAAGACGGCCUAUGGGUUGUAAACCUCUUUUUUCAGGGAGGAAUCAAUGACGUGUACCUGAAGAAUAAGCAUCGGCUAACUCCGUGCCAGCAGCCGCG
rnacentral:rRNA from 1 species